UGUCGUUCAAUAGGACAGUGCCAUCUGGCAAGCAACUAUUUAUGGUUUCAUUGUUUCGUAGCAGAUGGUUUUUAAUUAAACCAACCAAUGGUCUAAUCUAAUAUACCUUUGGGCAUUAAUAAAUUAUAACCUUUGGGCAUUAAUAAAUUAUAAUAAUAUAUAAAAAAAUCGUUGACAAAAAAGGAAAAAAAAAAGUAUAUAUUGUUAAGAUUCUGAAUCAAUUUGAGAAAACUGGAAAAACUAACCAUUGAUAGUUUGUAACCAAUUUCAAAUUAUGGUCAACCAUUUGAUAUAAUUAUGUCGUGCCGAC
rnacentral:lncRNA from 1 species